UAUGCCAUUUACUUUAAAUAUCACGAUAAAGAAGCAUCAUAAUCUAAUAUUCAUCAAAGUCGACUCGAAGUCAUUUCAUUAGGCCCUUGACCCACCUACUAUGCACCGGAUAGAGCUCUGUAUAAUAUCAAUAAUCAAAUAGACAAUAUGAAGUCGACAUCGGCGAGUGGACCAUCCUCUUGUGACCACUAGAGGCCCAUCCCCUAACUACUUCUAUGAUCCCCUAAGA
rnacentral:lncRNA from 1 species